GAUGAACGCUGGCGGCGUGACUAAUACAUGCAAGUCGAGCGAAUGGAUUAAGAGCUUGCUCUUAUGAAGUUAGCGGCGGACGGGUGAGUAACACGUGGGUAACCUGCCCAUAAGACUGGGAUAACUCCGGGAAACCGGGGCUAAUACCGGAUAACAUUUUGAACCGCAUGGGUCGAAAUUGAAAGGCGGCUUCGGCUGUCACUUAUGGAUGGACCCGCGUCGCAUUAGCUAGUUGGUGAGGUAACGGCUCACCAAGGCAACGAUGCGUAGCCGACCUGAGAGGGUGAUCGGCCGCACUGGGACUGAGACACCGCCCAGACUCCUACGGGAGGCAGCAGUAGGGAAUCUUCCGCAAUGGACGAAAGUCUGACGGAGCAACGCCGCGUGAGUGAUGAAGGCUUUCGGGUCGUAAAACUCUGUUGUUAGGGAAGAACAAGUGCUAGUUGAAUAAGCUGGCACCUUGACGGUACCUAACCAGAAAGCCACGGCUAACUACGUGCCAGCCGCCGCUGUAA
rnacentral:rRNA from 1 species